rnacentral:tRNA from 1 species
GCCUUCUUAGCUCAGUCGGUAGAGCAUGCGACUUUUAAUCUGAGGGUCGUGGGUUCGAGUUGCCCAGAAGGCG